rnacentral:rRNA from 1 species
UUAAGUUAGUGGCGGACGGGUGAGUAACGCGUGGGCAACCUGCCCCAUACCGGGGGAUACCAGCCGGAAACGGCUGCUAAUACCGCAUAAGCGCACGGUAUCGCAUGAUACAGUGUGAAAAGCUCCGGUGGUAUGGGAUGGACCCGCGUCCGAUUAGCCAGUUGGCGGGGUAGAGGCCCACCAAAACGACGAUCGGUAGCCGGCCUGAGAGGGCGGACGGCCACAUUGGGACUGAGACACGGCCCAAACUCCUACGGAAGGCAGCAG